UCCAGAUGCUUUCUACAAAUUCCUGCAAGCUCUCCACUGUGCUCUCCGAGCUUGGGAGGCCCAGUGCCUGGUGUGCUUAACUUGUAUGUCAUUUCUGCCUGGUUUUGGGUCUGCCAUUGCGACUCCAAGGGAAUUCUUCACUUCCUGAUGCCUCUCUACCAACCCAGAUGAAAGUUCCAGGAACCACCUGGAGGAGAUGGAAAAAAGUGCAGUGAAACCAUGCUGUGGGUUUAAUAACACUAAGAAGCUGGAACAAUAUCUUUCUUUGUAAGAACCCAAGAGCCCCCAGCCCCACUAUACCUGCUGGUGUUCUGAACUUCUAGAACAGAAAAAGGUAUUACAAGGUAAUCUGAAGAAGAAUCUAAUUCUGUCAUCGCUUCCUUAAGCGAUGUUGAUGUUGUUAUAACAAUAUGAUCACUUCUGCUUCCGCAUGCAGUCUCACAUUCCUGGGGGUGGAGGACGCAUGUCCAAAAAGUUACCCUAUACACCCAAGUGAAGUGUCAGCACUUUCCGGAAAAGUAGCUUCUAAAUUGCCGUUUCUAGUGGGUUGCUCAGACAUUCACCUCAAAGCCACAUGACUAUCUGCAAACAUCCAGACUGGUUAACCUUAAAGACCUGCACUAGCAGGGUCUUGAGAAGGAAGAGAAAGCCGUCAGGUCCUAAGAAGAGUUUCAACAGGAGAAUAACUACAUGAUGGGGUCCUAAGGUAUGGGGCCAGGAGCACUGCUGAUGAGAGAGCCAGCCCAGAGCAAGAGUGAGGUCACGAAGUGUUUCAGCUCCAAAAAUCUUGUCUGCAGAUCUGCAAAAGUCGGACUGUUCACUCCCUGCCCUGAGCCUGAAUGUCCCAGUACAUGUAACAUUAUGGUCCUUCGGUCAGGUGGCCUGGCAGCCAGGUCACAAGAUAUACUUCCUCUCUCCUUGUAAGGUUAUGUCCAGCAAGUACCUGGAUUUCUCUUCAUGCAAAAGAGACAUUCCCAGCACCUUGACCCUGGCUCACAAUGUACACUCAUGGCAAAAGCCUCUACCUACUCCCCUGCAAAUUUAAAUAGCUUUUGUUCCCCUCAAAUAAAGAAGCUGUCUUACUGAA